rnacentral:rRNA from 1 species
AACGAACGCUGGCGGCAUGCCUAACACAUGCAAGUCGAACGAGGCCUUCGGGUCUAGUGGCGCACGGGUUCGUAACGCGUGGGAACCUGCCCUUAGGUUCGGAAUAACUCCCCGAAAGGGGUGCUAAUACCGGAUAAUGUCUUCGGACCAAAGAUUUAUCGCCUUUGGAUGGGCCCGCGUUGGAUUAGCUAGUUGGUAGGGUAAAAGCCUACCAAGGCGACGAUCCAUAGCUGGUCUGAGAGGAUGAUCAGCCACACUGGGACUGAGACACGGCCCAGACUCCUACGGGAGGCAGCAGUGGGGAAUAUUGGACAAUGGGCGAAAGCAUGAUCCAGCAAUGACGCGUGAGUGAUGAAGGCAUUAGGGUUGUAAAGCUCUUUUACCCGGGAUGAUAAUGACAGUACCGGGAGAAUAAGCUCCGGCUAACUCCGUG